GAGCUGGAGAAAUGGUGCAGUGACUAAAUAGUUGUUGGGUGCGGUGGAAGAAGAGGUUGUCUGCGUGUGUGUUAUAACAGAAGCUGCUCUAGAAGGAUGCAAAUCUGUCUUCCCAUUUGAACAGAGAUUGAAGCACACAGAAGAGGACAGGAAGCCGUGAACAGGAUAUACGUAAAAAGUCAAAUGUUGGCAAUUAAAUGAAGGACAAGUGGGUAGAACCAACCUUUUUGGGAAUUUUUUAAAAUGAGUUAAUGAUCCAUUUCUUCAGCCUCAGAACCCAAAGGCCACCGCAGGACUGGACCGGACAGAUCCCACCUCCUUCCGGCACAGCACAGGGGCUGGCAAAGAGGAAGUACCAACGUCACACCCCACGGCCACGCCCACCCUCUCUGUGAGUGACAGGCCUAUCUGGAGAAACACAGGCUGUGACGCGGUUUACUAAAUCUGAAGUUUGAUUAAAAAAAAAAAAAAAAAAAAAAAGAAGCAAGGCAACAAGACGGGUCACUUUGUAUAUUUUUUAUUUUAAAAAGGAUAAAACAAUAAAAUCAAGCCAGUGUUUUGAUUAAUUUUAUUCUUUCUUAUCAAAAUUGAAACUUAUUAAACUGCAUAAUUUUUGUUGGUUUCUUCUCCCUCU